ACAUAACAUCUAGCAAAAUCCAAUUCAAUUGCUGAUCAAUUAAUGGACAUAAUCACCGAAAAUCGAUUUUUCUUUCAACCAACAAAUUUCCAGCACCAUCCGACCACAGCCGAAACCCAAAACUCCAAAUCAACCAGUAAUCACCAAAUUAACCAAAACCCCUCCAUCACCAAAUUAAAUCCACAAAAAACAAUCCGAACAGCGACAAAUAUACCCAAAACAAGAUCAAAACAAGCGGGGGAGAAACGCCGAAAUCUUACAUUUCGGCCUUCCAAUCUUGAUAGACUCGUUUUGCCAUGAAGAACCAAAUCCGCUGCGACUACGCCGGGAGGGAAUCCAAGACAUAGAACUUGCUCAUCCAACUCAGAGCCUCUCAAAAAAUUAAACAGGAAAAAAGAUUAAAGAUCGAAUUUUGAAGAAACAAAGAGAGAAUAAGUGGGCUUUUUCCUGACCGUGGAGAGCUGAGGGAAAGUGAGCUGUAAAACAGGCCCAGGGGCUUUUGAGAGGCAAUGGAAGACUCUCCCUCUCUCCGNN
rnacentral:lncRNA from 1 species